AGAUUGAACGCUGGCGGCAUGCCUUACACAUGCAAGUCGAACGGCAGCACGGGAGCAAUCCUGGUGGCGAGUGGCGAACGGGUGAGUAAUAUAUCGGAACGUGCCCAGUCGUGGGGGAUAACGCAGCGAAAGCUGUGCUAAUACCGCAUACGAUCUAUGGAUGAAAGCGGGGGAUCGCAAGACCUCGCGCGAUUGGAGCGGCCGAUAUCAGAUUAGCUAGUUGGUGGGGUAAAAGCCUAACCAAGGCGACGAUCUGUAGCGUGGUCUGAGAGGGCGACGAGACCGACACGUAGGAACGUGAGACACGGCCAGGACCUCGUACGGGAGGCAG
rnacentral:rRNA from 1 species